UUAAAAUUGUUGCAGUUAAAACGCUCGUAGUUGAAUUUCAAAGAGUCAUGGCGUUUCUGAGGUGCUCCUUGGUCGAUCUGCCCAGCACUGACUCUAUGAUUUUAUUGUAGAGCAGUGUGACUGGGUGUUCGAUUUCAAGAAAGUGUCUCCUUUACAAAGUGAUUUUUCUAAGGGUCUCUUGAGUACCAGUCCUUGGGAGGUUCUUUUUACCUUGAGUAAAUUAGAGUGUUUAAAGCAAACAGAUAGAACAGUUUACUGUGUUUAAAUACUACAGCAUGGAAUAAUAAUAUCGAAUGAGCCGACGUACUUUUCGUUUCUUUGUUAUUUUGGCUUAGUUACGAUUAACAGGAAUAGUUGGGGGCAUUUGUAUUCAGAUGUCAGAGGUGAAAUUCUAAGAUUAUCUGGAGACGAACAAUUGCGAAAGCAUCUGUCUAACAUAUUUUCAUUAAUCAAGAACGAAAGUUAAGGGAGUGAAGACGAUCAGAUACCGUCGUAAUCUUAACCAUAAACUAUGCCAACUAUGUUUUGGAUGUAUGAGAAAAAGAUGGAAUACUUUGUUUUACGACAUUGUCAUUCCAUUUAUGCUUCAUUCAGUACCUUAGAGAAAUCAAAGUCUUUGGGUUCUGGGGCGAGUAUUCGCGCAAGCGAGAAAGUUAAAAGAAUUGACGGAAGGGCACCACCAGACGUGGAGCUUGCGGCUUAAUUUGACUCAACACGGGAAAACUCACUAGUAUAAGACAAGAGUAGGAUUGACAGAUUAAUAGCCCUUUCUUGAUUUCUUGGAUGGUGAUGCAUGGCCGUUUUUAGUUCGUGAAUAUGAUUCGUCUGGUUAAUUCCGAUAACGAACGAGACCUUAACCUGCUAGUUAGCGGCCGGUAUGUCGCGAAUUUAUCAAAAUCUUAUCUCGUAGGCUGGAUUAUUUUUAGAAGAUAUGACGGAUAACCGAGUCGAGUGUCGUCCCCAUCACUGUUCUAUUAAUUCGCAGUCUGUCCUGGUUUUUUUUUAGGUAAGUAUGUAUCCGCUUGAAUGUAAGCUUCUUAGAGGUACGAUGUGUGCUUAACACAAGGAAGUUUAAGGCAACAACAGG
rnacentral:rRNA from 1 species